CGGAGAGGAUAAGCUUUGUUCUCAGGGGAUCCGGAAGUUGAUGAUGUUGGUUCAAUGCGGUGGAGAUGAAGAUAAGCGUGAGGGAAAAUCUGGGAAGGAUUCGGAAGAGGAGGAAGGUUGGAUUCGGGAUGAGCGUGGGAUUGUUGCGGAUGCAGGGGAUGCGGAUAGCGAGCUCUUCCGUGAUGCUCGGGGAGAAGGAUUUGCUCGGGUUGGACUCUGUUUUGUUAGACUGGGA
rnacentral:lncRNA from 1 species